rnacentral:lncRNA from 12 species
UUCUACAUUUUGUACAUUGAACUCCCAGAAGAACUGCAGACAACAGGACUUGCAAAAAAGUACAAGUUCUGGGACUUUCAUGUGUCAAUUGAGUAGGAUUCCCCGAUUCUUUCACAGGGGAAGUCCUUUCUUCAGAAUACGAUUCAUGGAAAAAAGUUGCAUGUCCAUAAAAAGUCGGUUUGCUUUGAUGGAACCAUCCUGGUUGAAGCCUUCCAGGGGAAUCUUGACAUUGAGAAUGAGAGAGGUGUUCAAUGAUAAGGACAUGGAGAUAAAGAAACUAAAAGAAGAAGGAAGUGCCAUCCAGCAGCAAGCAUCUCUCCUGGGGCAGCAGCUUGAGGAGGCCAAAUUAGAGCUCCAGGUGCCCAGAGCUGUUUCACACAUAGGGGUGUUGAUUGUUCAGUGUGUUUUAGGCCAUGAUGCAGAUUAAUGACAUCCACCUUAUUUUAUAAACUUAAAAAAUGCGCACCUGUCUUGAAUUUCCGACGUUUCUGGUUUCAUCCGUUUCCAUUUAUUUUUUUCACUGUGUAACAUAGCUCAUUUAUGCUGCUUGAUACUGCAAAGUGGUAUUUCUUAUCAAGUAUUGAUGUAUUAUUUUAACUAGUAACACACUGGUUUGUAGUUAUUAAAGGGAUACUCCACCCCAAAAUGAAACUUUUGUCAUUAUUCCCAUGUCGUUCCAAACCCGUAAAAGCUCCGUUCGUCUUCGGAACACAAUUUAAGAUAUUUUGGAUGAAAACCGGGAGGCCUGUGACUGUCCCAUAGACUGCCAAGUAAGUUACACUGUCAAGGUCCGGAAAAGUAUGAAAGACAUCGUCAGAAUACUCCAUCUGCCAUCAGUGGUUCAACCGUAACGUUAUGAAGCGACGAGAAUAUUUUUUGUAAGCAACUGAUCUUCUGUAUCAGCCAUGCCACAAAGAUGCGGUUUUCUUUCAAAUCAAAGCUAAAUACACGUAGAAACAGUGCAUCUUUGCUCUUUUAUCUGCUGUAGAUGACUUCCUGCAGGAGGUGGACAAGCUGCCAAUCGCUGACCGCUUGUACAAGUUGAAGGUAUGUAGUGAAGGAAGAUACAAAUGAGAAUUAUUUUACUUCUCGAAUCAGCUUGUCAGAGACUGUGCUCAGUUCUGGACUCUCUUGUAUUUUCUAACUAAUAGAGGUGUGAAAAACCCAUGAAUUAAAAAAAAAAAAAAAAUACAUAGUAAGUGAAGAUUCACCUUCCAGCUUUUCAUUACUGCAUUUCGAACUGUGUCGUCUGCAUAUAUAGGAAGUUGCAUCCUCACUGACUGCAAUAUUUAGCUCUCUUAUCCUUGGGGAGCAGAACGAAGAGUGCUCUUUUGAGAAGUUCUGUGAGUGGAAGGGGCACAAACAACAACAAAAUGAAAAAUGUGUGAAAAACUACAGAUGAGGCUCUCCUUGCUCUUAGCUGCUGGGCAGGCAGGCUUAGUAAGGUACGUUUGGGAAGUCGUGGCCUAGUGGUUAGAGAGAUUGACUGCUAACCCUAAGGUCGUGGGUUCGAGUCUCGGGCUGGCAAUACCACGACUGAGGUGCCCUUGAGCAAGGCACCGAACCCCCAACUGCUCCCCGGGCGCCGCAGCAUAAAUGGCUGCCCACUGCUCCGGGUGUGUGUUCACUGUGCGUGUGUGUGUUUACUGCUGUGUGUGUGCACUUGGGUUGGGUUAAAUGCAGAGCACGAAUUCUGAGUAUGGGUCACCAUACUUGGCUGUAUGUCAAGUCACUAAUGUAAACUUGAUCAAAUUCAAGUCUCCUUUUAUGGGUAGGUAAUUAUUUGGCUUUAAAAUUAAAUGGACA